AUGACAGGAGUGGGGGGUGUUGUGUCGGGGAGGCGCGCGCAGCAGCCGACAUCGCGGAGAGCCAUUUCGUGGCGCAGCCGGUCCUCGCGCUCGGCUGCGGUGCCACACUUGUCAGCUGUAGAAGGCAGUUGGGCGCUCAGCGCCGUUGCUGCUGCUGCUCCUGCUGCUGCUGCUGCUGCCGCGCCGCCGCCGCCGCCGCGAGAGCCUGGUCAGUUCGUCAGCAGCCUCGCGAGCCGGAGACGAUUGCGCCCCGCUGCAUUGCCAUAUAUGGUGCGAAAAAAAAGCGGCAGCCUCGAGCGCGGUUUUCCGGCCACUCGGCACAAAGGGGAAUUUGCAGCGCGCUGCAGCUCCUUUAUCUCUCUUUUCCUCCCUUCUACGACUAUUCGAUGCCGAGGUUCGACGUUCUCUCCGGCGACAAAGAAGACUCACAGAUGUGAGACAAGCGAGAUUAAUCCACCCAGUGUAGAAAAAUGUCGUUGGAACGUUUUCUCUGUCUAUUACGCACAGCUUCAGUCUUUAUUGCAGGGUCAGUAAAUGACGAAGGUUUUGGCUCAGGUCCCAGGGGGGUGGUUAAAAAAAAGUGUAGCAGGAAUUCUCUGGCGCGUCCCACACUGUGUGUGUGUGUGUGUGUGUGUGUCCUCGUGUCCUCGGACCAGGCGCCAGGUUCUGCGUUUCGCUGCCCGAAGAGUCUCUUAUUUUAUUGCUCUAAAGGAGACGCGACUCCCGCACUGUCGGCAAGUCCAUACGCAGAAUGGAGGACGGGACAGGACAUGACGUGACGUUUCGAGUCGUGUCCGCGAGCGUCCAGCAGCCGCACAAGUAGCCCUGGCGCGAGCGCGCACCCACCACGUAGGCUCGUGUAACGCGGCGGGUCACGAGGUCAUCUUUGCCUAUUGUGUCGCUUCUCACUUGGAAACGUGCUUGGAAAACGGCGCUGCGGUGUUUUGGGCGCGGAAAAGCGCGGCACGCUUAACACACGGUUCGGCCCUUGUUUUGAGCCUGCGGACUGGAAGACGGAGUAAGACUUUAAUGUUCCCUUUAGCUGUGUUAUGAAGGCUGCGCGCGAGAGCUGUUCUCGAGCUAAUGAAGACACGCAUGAAUCAUCAUGUUUGCUUGGAUGUGUGGUGAGCGAUAAAAGAAAGUCAAGAUAUUCAAACCGAAAACAUUGCACAUUUGGGGUUGUUUUUUUUUAAUUAAAUCUCCCUUCUGAUUCAUUCGAGUAAAAUUCAGUUUAAACCAGGAUCUGCAAUGUGCUACUACCCCGACAGGUCGUAUGAAAAGGGUGGCUCCUCAUUUCUUCAUUGGUGUAUCAGACAAUUAUUCUUAAUCACCGCCCAUUGUGUAAGAAUUUCUUUCACAGUCACCUUUUCCUAAACCGGAUCCGGUUGAAACGAAUUAUGUAGUAUUUAAUCUUUUUAAUCUCGGCUCAUGUAGCAAGAACGAGCCAUUCCGAUUCAACAUUUGGGGCUUCUCCCUCUUCACUCCCGUUACUCUGUAGCCCACGUUAGAACUAGACGCGCAGAUGACAUUUAAAUUAAUCUGAUAUGCAGUUAGAUUAAAUAUGAAAGAUUAAAGCUCCCCAGACUUCAAAAAUAUAAACAUACUGAGUAUAGUUACAACUCCUCAAAGCCAGAUGAACCCUACAAGAACACUCGGUUGCGCUAGUAAUAUUUUGCAUUGCAUAUUACAUUUGCAUUUAUUUGCAGACGCUUUUCUCAAAGCGACUUACAAUAGAUUCUAUGUAGUGUUACCUGCCCACACACCUUAUUCACCAGGGUGAUUUACACUACUAGAUACACUACUUACAAUGGGUCAUUCAUCCAUACAUCAGUGAAACACACUCACGCACUAUUUUUUUUAAUUUAUGUUUUUGUUAUUGAGUUCACUCGUGAUUAUUAUAAUUCAAUAUCAUGUUUGAUAUAUAUUUUAAGCCUGCUGUUAUCCUCUUUUGAUAUAAAUUAUAGCCCUAUACAUGUAAUCAUAUCAAAAUGUAAAUUUGACAUUACCUGGCGGGUGCAGUUACCACGUUUCCUGUAGCCCUUGCUUUUGUAUUUGCUUGUGUGCCUUAAGCACCGCACAUCAUCAGUCGCCUUGCACAAAGGUGCGCGCCAAAUAAUGGAAAUAUUGAAAUAUGAUGAUAGUUUAUAUUUCAAAUGGAGAGUUUGCGCCCGGGUACAAAUCAAAUACGGUAAGUGCGAGGUAAUCCUUCCUGCCAUAGUGAUACCCGAGGACUGCACAGUGUGGUUUUGCAGAUGAUGGGCCCUGGGACCUCCAGGCUGUCUGGUUACUGUGGUACAAUGUGAUGGUGCACCACCCUUGUGACAUGUGCGGCGGAGCCCCUUCCAGCGGUCUGCGAUGGCGUCACCGGCCCCGUUAAACCUGGGCGUGUCCCCCAUGCCGCUGUGUUUACGGACCCGCCGAGCUCCCGUUUCCAAGGCAACCGAAAGUCGCUGCGGGUUCUGUAAUCCAUCCGUUAUUUCUGAGUGAAGUCUCUCUGCAUUCAUUUAUAUACGCUUCGUUACCCAAGAAAUACCGCACUCGCAAUGCUUGAAGGACAAGUAAAUAUGGUUUUGUCGUAAAUAUUGUAUUUGUUUUUCUACCACGUAAAAUGCCAAAAUCUGAAUGAACUAUUUCAGUUAAUCAGUGGUCAUCUGAAUAUUAUCUCGACGGUUCUUGGGUUUUAAUAAGUGUGUUUUAAAUUAAAAACUAAAUUAUUUAGAAAUGAGUGAAAAGGAAAACGGUGCUACAUUCGCACAAACCGAAAGGCGACUCCACAUCCAUCACUGUUCGAUAACCAACUUCACCAUGAUUUAUCCAUAUAUACAGCAGGGUAUUACUGCUAUAAGACUGGCGUCUGCUUCGCUCAAGGGGGUACCACUGCAGCGGUGGGAUUCGAACCAGGAACCUGCGAAUUGCAAGCGGACGGCGGUAAAUACUUCGCCACCUGCUGGUAGACAGGAUUAUUGCCGUCACGCGCGGCUUUAAAUCUGCAUUUCUGAUAAUAAUGUGACGUUUUCCACAUGCUGGUAAUGUUUUACCAGAAAAUGCUUUCUUGAAAUAAAUUUCUGUUUAAUAAAAAAUGAAUAUUUGCU
ensembl:lncRNA